UAUAAACUUGUUGAAAUUGCCGCUGUAAACAAUUCCUGAUGACGUUAGGGCGACCAGGAUUGAGGGACGGUGAAGCGGGUAGCCGAGGGACUGACGGCUGGACGGGAUCCCUGCUACAUCAUCCAUCUUCUUGAGAGGCUGGAUGAGAUCGUCAACGUAAAAGUUCCUGAUGAUGAGCCAGAUGAGCAGAAAGUUCCAGAUAGUCCCCCAACUGCAAAGAAACCGCCGUACACUUAUCCGGAGUUGAUCGAAAGGGCUUUGAGAGAGAACGGAGAAUUGACUGUGUCAGCUAUUUAUCAGUGGAUAUCUGACCGUUUCCCAUUUUACAAAGCGAAUGAUGAGCGCUGGAAAAAUUCAGUACGACACAACCUCUCAAUCAACCCACAUUUUCGGAAAGGAGCACGAGCGUCGCAAGGCGCCGGUCACCUCUGGUCGCUGGCAGCCAAUGCCAUCGACUUGCUACCUCUGCGAAACCAGACCUAUGUGGACAUGGAGAAGACGGAAGAGGUACAGGAGGCGCAACUUAUCGAAUGUCCAAAAGUCAUAGUUUUAGACGAAGCCGCAAUAGCGGCGGCCAGUAUCAUUCCAGACCAAGAUCUAUUCACAGGUAACACAAUGUUUCUAAAUCCAGUGUCAACAGAGCAAGUGGUCCGCGAGUGUGGCCUCAUCACUAUGUGAUUUUAAGUAAAAUCCUAGCGUUAUUGAAAUGUACUGAAAAACUACUACGAAUUCGGCUUGUUUACUCAUUUUACGUAAUUUAGUGACCCACUAUCGAAUCGUUUAAUUACUCAUCUUUAAUUAUGUUUACUAAUAACUAUUAUAUUAUUAAAUAUGUUCGUAAACAAACUUGAGGUGACAGAAAUAAUUUUGAAAUACUUAACCAAGACCUCAAUAGGGCGAUAUUUUGAAGUUGCAAAAUACAGUAUUAAGUAUAUGUGUUAAGACAUGGUUCGCCCUAACAGAUAUAAAUAAUUAGAUUAUUAAAGGAAUCCGCUAACCCUAAAUAGAACACUAUAAUAAAUUAAGCUACAACGGCUGCAGGUUACUCAUCAGAUAAUUUGCGUGUAUUAUCUCUAAGCCGUCAUGUGAAUUUUUGUAGCCUUCUUUCAUAUAAAAUAUACUGUAAAAAUUUGUAAAAUAUCCUGGGCAAAAUUAUCUUCUCCUAUAAAUAAGAUAUGUCGGAGUUUAAUCUGAUAUACUGUUUCUUUGAACUGCGACAAAGCCUUAAAAAUUGCUUAAUUUGAAUUGAUAGAUGAAUAAUGAUAAAACAGAGCAAAUUUCAAUUUACUAUUGUCAAUUCCAUAUAAAGGUUUGUGUGAUAACGAUUGUUACUCAUAGUAGCGGACAUAUCUAUCAAUCCGAUGGAGCAGCGUGGUGGGUUAAGCUCUCAAUCCUUCUUCUACAUGAAGAAAUCCUAUUUAUUUAUUUCCAUAAACCUUAUAUAAAAAAAUUAAUAAAUAUACGAAUAAAAUUUGACUUAUAUUCCAGCGCUGCAAUAUAUAAUAUUGUCACUUACAAUGCGGAG
rnacentral:misc_RNA from 1 species